GUGCAAACUCAAUCACUAGCUCUGUAUGAUGUGGCAGUAGCUAAGGAAACCAGAUUUGCUAAGUAAUUGUGAUGACAGGAGUGUAUUAGCCCCAGAAGCUACUGAGGUAGCCCACUCUGUCCCAAUACAGAA